rnacentral:rRNA from 1 species
AUCUUGGUUACAACGAAAAAACUGCGAGAGGAUUGGUUAGAAGGUAGGCCAAGUUCAAGCUCGAGCCGCUCAGAGAAGGCGUGGACAACCUUAUGGAAGAUUAAAGUUCCGUCAAAAAUACAUGUGUUUGUGUGGUGGCUAGCCCAGCGAUCCAUGCCGUCAGGAGCAGUGUUGUACCAUCGAAAGAUGGCUACUUCAGCAAGGUGCGAACUAUGUGGUGCAGAGAAAGACACAUGCACCAUGGCGAGAUGCGUGUGGGCACUCGUCGACGACUCACUUACAGAGCAUAUGAGCAUGACAACGUGCCCAAAAGCGAAGGAAUGGCUAUUUCACAUGCUUGAAAUGCUACCACAUGCAAAAUUCACAAAGCCCAUCAUUACUUUGUGGGCAAUUUGGAGCGCAAGAUGGAAAGCAAUCCACAAAUCGAUCUUCCAGAGCCCGGAGGCAAUUCAUGGUUUCAUCAUGAGAUAUCUAGCAGACCUGGACAUCAUCGCAGAUGCUUCACAGAAGUAAGGUACAACUAUGCCACUGUCAGUGCAGGUGCCAAAGUGGAUCCCUUCAAUGGAAGGUAUGGUCAAAAUUAAUGUAGAUGGAGGAAUAGCGAAGAACAACUGUUGCAAGGGUGCGGCAGCCGCCGUGUGCUGAGACGCCCAAGGAGUUUACCUUGGCUCGUCUGCAUGCAUCAUUGACAGUUGUGAUGACCCCGGAAUGCUUGAAGCAAUGUCAUGUUUGGAGGCUUUUUCCCUCGCGGCCGAUUUGAACCUUCGAAGGCUUAUUAUUGCAUGCGACACGGAAGCGGAAGUUAAACAGAUUAAUGGAGGAAGUAAAGCUAUCUACAACCAGAUUCUACAUGAGAUCAACAUCCGUCGUCAGGAGUUUGAAGAGGUCCGGAUUAUUCAUGAAUGCAGAAUGUCCAAUAUGGAGGCUCACAAUUUUGUAAAAAGCCUUGUAUCAUUAGCUCAUGGUCGAUAUAACUCGCUACUGCAGCCUGCUACUUCUUGA